rnacentral:rRNA from 1 species
UACGUAGGGUGCGAGCGUUGUCCGGAAUUAUUGGGCGUAAAGAGCUCGUAGGCGGUUUGUCACGUCUGCUGUGAAAUCCCGAGGCUCAACCUCGGGCCUGCAGUGGGUACGGGCAGACUGGAGUGCGGUAGGGGAGAAUGGAAUUCCUGGUGUAGCGGUGAAAUGCGCAGAUAUCAGGAGGAACACCGGUGGCGAAGGCAGCUUGCUGGGACGGUACUGACGCUGAGGCGCGAAAGCAUGGGGAGCGAACAGG